CUCGCCCGUAGACUGCUGGAGAAGGGCAGCAACUUCCCUACGACCCACUAUGGAAGAAACGUUGGUGCUGGAGCGCUCAGGUGCGCUGGAUGACAGGUGUCUCCUAUCUGCUGAUUGCUUGGAGGAGUACUUAAGCGGGAAGCUGCCAGCACUUCAAUGCCAGAGUGUUUGCCUUAGUGGUUUUUACCUGAGGCUUUGUUUUCCUUGCUGAGUUCUGACUUCGUUCCAGAGUUUCUCUGAGCAUCUGGAUUAUCAACUGCUGAGUUAAGGAUCUAUCUUCCUGUGGAUUUCUCUCACUACCGUCUGUACCUUUUGGACACGGACCAAGCUGGCGGCUUCCCGUUUCCUGCAACUCCAGGACCCAGGCAUCGGCAUACCCUGUCCCUUCCUCCAUCUCAAACAUCGGCACCUGAGCUCCAUUCGGCUGGCACCAAGAUCACAACGAAGAAGACAACUGAACGAUCUUCCUUCGCAAGUUAAAACUCUGAAUCUCUCUACCCCUGGUGGUUCAAGCUACAACAAUUUAGUCAACCAUUUCUCAGAUCUAAGUAAUCAGUUGCUUCUUAUCAUUCGUUUGUUCACCAGUUCAUUCUUCUUCCUUCCCGUACGGUUGGUGUUUCCGUAAAACUUUCUCUUCUGAGUGUUCUCUGUAUGUGGGUCAGAUCUAUACCAAAAAUGACAGUUUAUUAAUACGUAUUGCUGGAGUCAAGGCAUUGUCAUUACUUCUAAUGUUUUAUUAUUUCUACCUUCUGAAAUUAAUAUGGUAAAUGGCCUGCUCUUGUAUAGCGUUUUCUCAGGUCCGAGGACUCCAAAGCGCUUUACAUCUGUCAUCCACCGAUUUUAGAAAAGGCUCCUCUCCUGUGGAACCAACUCCCAGUUUUGGUCCGUGAGGCAGACACCCUGUCUACUUAAGUCCAGGCUUAAAACGUUCCUUUUAUCUCUGUAGUUAUGCUGCUAUAGGCUUAGGCUGCUGGAGGACAUGAUGACCAAUGUUUCUCACUCUGCUACUCUCACUUCUACUACUCUUGGCUAUAACUACUAACAGUAUUUUUUUUUGUUUGAUUCUGGUUUUAUACAGAGUAGAAUUCUAUAAAACGGUACAGAUUAGGGACACUUCUAAUAUCUGCUUAAAUUAUUUUUUUAUAUUGAUAGCAGUAGUUAUGCAGGAUGUUUUGGUCUUUGGGUUUACUUUGAGCUGUUGAAAGACAAUGACUCAAACGUCCAGCAUAUACACAACCAGUUACUUACAGAUGCAUCUGAAAACAUUUCAUCAGUAUUCAAACAGCAAUCAAAACAGUUCAGCAUAAACUUCAAUCAAUAUUUCAUGCAACAAGUUAAUACACUGGAUUAAUUAAUGUUGAUCCUAAGCCCCCUCUGUCUAUAUACCUCACCCUGCCCAGACUACAGUUCAAAAAUCUCAGAAGUAGGAAACAAAACAAGUUUACUUGGUGGAAAAGUGGUGCAGACGAGUGGGCUUUCUCCUAGGAAGGUGUGAAGUUAUGAGUGGCAAGUGUCGCUCAUCCACAAACACUCUAAAUGCUCACCUUCUCCUCCUUCGUCCAAAAAGGGGAAAAUAUGAUAAACCGUUGCAGUCAACUGGAACUACUGUCCAUUCCUCUUCCGGGAAUGGCUAGUAGGGAGACAAGUAAACCCGCCCGCAAGCUUCUAUUUCUCCAGAGAUCGCCUCAGAGCGCAGGAUCAGCAAGAAACUACGGCUGGAAAUGGGACCAAGCAAUGGCAUCAGCUGGUAAUUAUCACUUCUGGCAGUCACGUCAGAGCUGCAAUACAUGCUGGGAGGUGUAGUAGUUCAUUUGUUUCCUGUCCAAACGGACGAUGGCCCAACAUUGUGCUUGAAUGACCAGUUGCCUAAACCCUUAAGAGAAUCUAUGAGGUGAGGAAAUGAUGAAAGACCCCAGAGCCAGCAAUGCAGGUCACCUGAAAGCCAAAAUUAAAGCAACCUGGUCUUCCUUAACAUCUCAGCAAAGCAACGGAAUGUUCACCUCCAGAACUUGCAUCACGGACUAUAUUAACUUCUGUGUGGACGGCAUUGUGCCAACCCGGAAGGUAAGGUGCUUCUCCAGCAACCAUCCAUGAGUGACCCCUGAACUUAAAGCCCAUCUGAACCAAAAGAAGAGGGCUUUCAACUCAGGGGACAGAGAGGAGCAGAGGAGAGUUCAGCAAGAGCUUCAGUGAAGGAUCAGGAGGUGUACGUUAGGCCACAGUAUGUUAGGCAGCGCAGGUACUGUCCUGUCACCAUAUUUUUUUCACCAUUUCCACCCUCUUUUUCUCCAUUGUGAGAUCAAUAAAGUAUAUCUUAUCUUUUUAA